AUUGAACGCUGGCGGCAGGCCUAACACAUGCAAGUCGAGCGAGCGGCGGACGGGUGAGUAAUGUCUGGGAAACUGCCUGAUGGAGGGGGAUAACUCCUGGAAACGGUAGCUAAUACCGCAUACCAUCAGAUGUGCCCAGAUGGGAUUAGCUAGUCGGUGGGGUAAGGGCUCACCAAGGCGACGCGCCCUCGCUGGUCUGAGAGGAUGACCAGCAACACUGGAACUGAGAAACGGUACAGACUCCCAUGUGAGGAAGCAGUGGGGAAUAGUGGACAAUGGGCGCAAGCCUUAUGCAGCAAUGCCGAGUGUAUGAAGAAGGCCUUCGGGUUGUAAAGUACUUUCAGCGAGGAGGCGUUACUCGCAGAAGAAGCACCGGCUAACUCCGUGCCAGCAGCCGCGGUAAGAC
rnacentral:rRNA from 1 species